rnacentral:rRNA from 1 species
AGUGAACGCUGGCGGUAGGCCUAACACAUGCAAGUCGAACGGCAGCACAGUAAGAGCUUGCUCUUACGGGUGGCGAGUGGCGGACGGGUGAGGAAUACAUCGGAAUCUACUUUUUCGUGGGGGAUAACGUAGGGAAACUUACGCUAAUACCGCAUACGACCUACGGGUGAAAGCAGGGGAUCUUCGGACCUUGCGCGAUUGAAUGAGCCGAUGUCGGAUUAGCUAGUUGGCGGGGUAAAGGCCCACCAAGGCGACGAUCCGUAGCUGGUCUGAGAGGAUGAUCAGCCACACUGGAACUGAGACACGGUCCAGACUCCUACGGGAGGCAGCAGUGGGGAAUAUUGGACAAUGGGCGCAAGCCUGAUCCAGACAUACCGCGUGGGUGAAGAAGGCCUUCGGGUUGUAAAGCCCUUUUGUUGGGAAAGAAAAGCAGCAGGUUAAUACCCCGCUGUUCUGACGGUACACAAAGAAUAAGCACCGGCUAACUUCGUG